UACGAAGGUGGCGAGCGUUGUCCGGAUUUACUGGGCGUAAAGAGCGCGCAGGCGGUCGUGCAAGUCGCGUGUGAAAGCCCCCGGCUCAACUGGGGAGGGUCACGCGAUACUGCUCGACUCGAAGGCAGGAGAGGGAAGUGGAAUUCCCGGUGUAGUGGUGAAAUGCGUAGAUAUCGGGAGGAACACCAGUGGCGAAGGCGACUUCCUGGCCUGUUCUUGACGCUGAGGCGCGAAAGCUAGGGUAGCAAACGGG
rnacentral:rRNA from 1 species